rnacentral:misc_RNA from 1 species
CUUAGCUUGCAUUGUAUUCCUCUUGUUCUUUUGCUCUCUAUUAUGACAAGAAACAUGGGGAAGCUUUUUAAGAAGCAUGUAGGAGUUGUAGUUGUGGUGUUUGUGUUGGUGUUAGGGUUAGUUGAAUGUCGAACAUUUCAAAAGGAUAAAUUUACUAUCAAACAUGGAGGUGGCUUAGAUGGUGAUGGAGGCAUUGGAGGAGGGGUCGGUGGAGGCGGUGGUGUUGGUGGAGGAGUUGGUGGUGGUGUUGGUGGUGGAGGGUAUAGUCACCCGGAGGAGUAGCAGUGAAUGCGUGAUCCUGCUGGGCAUAGGACUCGGGCGCUGGUGGUGCAGAGGGCGCGGAGGAAGCCAUUGGAUUGGCUGAAACGAGAUUUUGAAAAUGAG